CUGUGAUGAAUUGUUUGAUUAGUUCCAGUAGAUUAAUUACAGUCAAAUUAUUGUUUAUAUUGGAGCAUCAUUAUCUUUUAUUAUUCCUAUUGUUAGCAAUUUGUAGAAUCAAAUCGCUUGCAACCCAAUACGCACCAGUUGGAAUAGUAAUAAGCCAUCUUGGAUGAAUGACAUUUCAACUUCUGACAUUAGAAAAUAUAAAGGGGCAUAUGAUAUGUUAGCACUGUUCACUGCGGACUGGCAUACUCCUGAUUUGAAGCUUGGUCCAUCAUGUAGGAACGGGCCAAGGCCUAAGAGUAUGUCGUCGCUGCUUUGGAAAUAGAAGAGAGCAUAAAAUCUUUCCCUUCACCAGAUGGAAAAUAACAGGCUCAAGUGAUGAUAUAAGAAUAUGCAUUCUGAAAAGGUAGGUCUCAAAUUGAUUACACCAACUAUAAAGUAUAAACUAAACCUUUGCUCCAUGACUUAUUUUCUGCUGGAGUUGAGAGAAAUUUAAAAAACAACGGAUGAAUUAGCAAUUAGCACAUUUGUUUGGAUUGUAUUUUAUAAACUCAUUUAACCGUGUUGAAUGGAAUUCAGUCAUAUGUUUGCCCUUUUUA